rnacentral:misc_RNA from 1 species
GAUGAAGAACGCAGUGUAAUGCGAUACGUAAUGUGAAUUGCAAAUUCAGUGAAUCAUCGAGUCUUUGAACGCACAUUGCGCCCCCUGGUAUUCCGGGGGGCAUGCCUGUCCGAGCGUCAUUGCUGCCCUCAAGCACGGCUUGUGUGUUGGGCCCCGUCCUCCGAUCCCGGGGGACGGGCCCGAAAGGCAGCGGCGGCACCGCGUCCGGUCCUCGAGCGUAUGGGGCUUUGUCACCCGCUCUGUAGGCCCGGCCGGCGCUUGCCGAUCAACCCAAAUUUUUUAUCCAGGUUGACCUCGGAUCAGGUAGGGAUACCCGCUGAACUUAAGCAUAUCAAUAAGCGGAGGA